GUUCACAGACACAGGGAGGAAUAUCGAUGUCGCGCGGACAAUAGUCAGACCGAGAAAGAAAGAUCAGGCUUUGCUAAAUGCUGGUCAUGUGGGAAGAGAAGAGAGAGAGGUAGAGGCAGAGGGACAGAGGAAUGAAGGAGGGGCGAGAAAAAUGAC